rnacentral:rRNA from 1 species
UACGUAGGGUGCGAGCGUUGUCCGGAAUUAUUGGGCGUAAAGGGCUCGUAGGCGGUUUGUCGCGUCGGGAGUGAAAACCUUGGGCUUAACUCAGGGCUUGCUUUCGAUACGGGCAGACUAGAGGUAUGCAGGGGGAGAACGGAAUUCCUGGUGUAGCGGUGAAAUGCGCAGAUAUCAGGAGGAACACCGGUGGCGAAGGCGGGUCUCUGGGCAACAACUGACGCUGAGGAGCGAAAGCGUGGGGAGCGAACAGG